CAGCCGCCGCGGUAAUACGUAGGGUCCGAGCGUUGUCCGGAAUUAUUGGGCGUAAAGAGCUCGUAGGCGGUCUGUCGCGUCUGCCGUGAAAUCCUCAGGCUCAACCUGAGGCGUGCGGUGGGUACGGGCAGGCUAGAGUGCGGUAGGGGAGAAUGGAACUCCUGGUGUAGCGGUGGAAUGCGCAGAUAUCAGGAAGAACACCGAUGGCGAAGGCAGUUCUCUGGGCCGUAACUGACGCUGAGGAGCGAAAGCGUGGGGAGCGAACAGGAUUAGAUACCCCGGUAGUCCCUGUCUCUUAUAC
rnacentral:rRNA from 1 species